rnacentral:rRNA from 1 species
AUUGAACGCUAGCGGGAUGCCUUACACAUGCAAGUCGAACGGAGUGGCGAACGGGUGAGUAAUGUAUCGGAACGUGCCCAGUAGCGGGGGAUAACUACGCGAAAGCGUAGCUAAUACCGCAUACUAUUGGAGCGGCCGAUAUCGGAUUAGCUAGUUGGGGGGGUAACGGCUCACCAAGGCGACGAUCCGUAGCUGGUUUGAGGGGAAGACCGGCCAAACGGGAACGGGGACACGGCCCGACCUCCUCCGGGGGGAAGCAGUGGGGAAUUUUGGAAAAGGGGGGAAACCUGGAUCAAGCCAGCCGGGGUGUUGGUUGAGGGCCUUCGGGUGGAAAAGCAUUUUUGGCAGGAAGGCGGUACCGGAAGAAUAAGCACCGGCUAACUACGUGCCAGCAGCCGCGGUAAUUC